UGAUGAUGAUGAUGAUGAUGAUGGUGGUGGUGGUGGUGAUGAUUAUGAUGUCGACGUCAAUUUUAAUGUCGGUGAUGGUGAUAAUAAUGACACCAAUAUUAAAUCAUCAUCAUCAUCAUCAUCAUCGUAACCAUCAUCAUCAUCUUCAUCACCACCAUCAUCAUCAUCAUCA
rnacentral:pre_miRNA from 1 species